rnacentral:rRNA from 1 species
UGGUGGGUUGCCUUGUCAGGUUGAUUCCGGUAACGAACGAGACCUCAGCCUGCUAAAUAGUCACAGUCUCUUCGGGGGCUGGCAGACUUCUUAGAGGGACUAUUAGCGACUAGCUAAUGGAAGCAUGAGGCAAUAACA